GGAAGAGAAAUGAGACUUAUUUUGAGUUGGUUCCAAGGGUGGGAAUUAGGACGGAUAGAAAAAGAAAGACAGAGAGAAUCAGCUUUGAUACAGGAAGGAACUUUCUAGCAAUUAGAACUGCCCAACAGUGAACUUCCCCCAGGAGUUUUUAAACUGUGUUCUGAUGAAACCUAGCAUUCUGUGAAUAUUCAAGAGAGUCAAAUAUUUGCCCCCCCACCCAGCCAUCCCUUAUUUGCUUUAUAUUUUGAAAACUACAUGCAAUAUUCUAACUUUAGAAACCCAACCAGGUAAGGCACAGUGGCUCACUGUAAUCCCAGUGUUUUGGGAAGCUGAGGUGAGAAGAUCGCUUGAGGCUAGGAUUUCGAGACCAUCCUGGGCAGCAUAAUUCUAGGUCCAUGACAUCCUCUCAUGAACAGUUAUACAGGUGGACCAGUAAGGCACACCUGGGCAGUGCUCUGUUCACAUCUGGCCUGCACCUCCUCUCAUCCUGCCUUCACAGGUGCUUAGGAGAACAUGCAGUAGAGCUUUUCAUCAAAUAAAUGGAACACGUUGCAGAAUUUUGCUAACAUGGACAACUCUGCACAGAAAAAUGAACGCACUGGCAAACAUCCGAGAUGUGCCAGUGAAGUACAGAAAGGUUUUACUGCUGCAUAUCCAACACAGUCCUCCAUUCCUUUUAAAUCUCCAGCUUCAGUAAUCCCAGAAUCAGAAAAAAAAGGAUUCAAUAGUCAAGCCAAGAGAUUUUCUCAUAAGAA
rnacentral:sRNA from 1 species